CCUACGGGAGGCAGCAGUGAGGAAUAUUGGUCAAUGGCCGAGAGGCUGAACCAGCCAAGUCGCGUGAGGGAAGAGGGCCCUACGGGUUGUAAACUUCUUUUGUCAGGGAGCAAUUGAGUCCACGUGUGGGCUUAGCGAGAGUACCUGAAGAAAAAGCAUCGGCUAACUCCGUGCCAGCAGCCGCGGUAAUACGGAGGAUGCGAGCGUUAUCCGGAUUUAUUGGGUUUAAAGGGUGCGUAGGCGGAAUAUCAAGUCAGCGGUAAAAAUUCGGGGCUCAACCCCGUCGUGCCGUUGAAACUGAUGUU
rnacentral:rRNA from 1 species